rnacentral:lncRNA from 1 species
UCUUGCUAUUGCGGAAUACUGUGCAAUUGAAAAUUUCUUGCUAUUGCACAAUACUUAAUAUAAUAAUUUUGGACCCCGAUUUAGACCAACUUGAAAACUGGGCCCAUAAUCAAAAAUCUAAGUACAUGUUUAGAUUCAGCAUAUCAAAGAACCCCAAGAAUUCAAUUUUUGUUAAAAUCAAGCUAAGUUUAAUUUUGGACCCUUUGGACCUUAAUGUAGACCAAUUUGAAAAUAGGACCAAAAAUUAAGAAUCUGAAAACACGGUUAGAUUUGGCAUAUCAAAGAACCCCAAUAAUUCAUUUUU